AGCUUUGCACUGUGGGAGUGUCGCAGCCAGUGAGAUUUAGCCAAGGCAAGAUUAGUGCUAAUAAAAAACCUUUCCCAAUACCCCACCAUGAUGACUUGAAAUAUAGUUAGCACUGGGGAAAAAAAAAAGGAAAUCUUUU
rfam:Otolemur garnettii contig022598, whole genome shotgun sequence.